CCCCACCCCCCAUAACCCACCCCAUAGCCCCCCCCUCAAGGGCCGGAUCCCAGACGGCCCUCAAAUCACCAACGGGAGGGUGGGAGAGGACCAUGGGAUGGGAGGGAGGGAGCCUGAGUCUCGGAGCGGGGACUGGGGGCGUCGGGGUCAUGAGUCUCGGAGCGGGGACUGGGGGCGGAGGGAGCCUGAGUCUCGGAGCGGGGACUGGCCGAGUUGGGGGCAUGGAGCGUGGGGCCGGUACUGGUCGGGGGCAUGGAGCGUGGGGCCGGAACUGGUCGGGGGCAUGGAGCGUGGCACCGGAACUGGUCGGGUCGGGGGCAUGGAGCGUGGCGCCGGAACUGGUCGGGUCGGGGGCAUGGAACGUGGCGCCGGAACUGGUCGGGGGCAUGGAACGUGGUGCUGGUACCGGGGGCAUGGAUCGUGGCACUGGCUCGGGGCUCGGGGACAUGGAUCGUGGCACUGGCUCGGGGGUCGGGGGCAUGGAUCGUGGCACUGGCUCGGGGGUCGGGGGCAUGGAUCGUGGCAUUGGCUCGGGGGUCAUGGGCUUGGGUCGGGAGGCCGGGACGGGAAUCUGCUGCGGCCCAGCGCGGGACAUCUUGCGCUGCGACCGAGCGGGGUCGGAACGUCGCUGCGGCCCAGCGCUGGACAUUGUGCGCUGCGACCGAGCGGGGUCGGGAAGUCGCUGCGGCCCAGCGCUGGACAUUGUGCGCUGCGGCCGAGCGUGGGGAGCAUAGGUGGCCUGUAGUCGGACCGCAAGGUCCAUUACCCGCUCCCAGUGCGAAUCGCCGCCAGACGACCACGAAAUGGUCUCCUCCUCUGGGGACCAUGUGGGGGGCGGCGGAUGGUGACCCAGAUGCCUACUGAGGGCUCCAGAUGGGGAGACGGAGUAGUACAAGUACCCAGCUGGAACCCCCGGGAGGACCGUUCCCCCAUUACGGGCGGCCCGCUGGAGAUUGCAUGGACCGCCCAUUGCCAGACGGGUUCCCCUGAAGUCUUCCAGGGGAAAAAACUCUGCUGAGUCCUUCUUUGGUCGCGUCAUUCUGUCAGGGUUGCGGGUGGGAGGCACGACUCAAACGCAGACUUUUCCAAUACAAAAAGACUUUAAUAGUCAAAAGGUCCAAAAUCCAAGGGGCAAAAACACUCAGGCAUGAAACUAUGGGCAUCCAAGACAAAGACAGGACAAGGACAUGCGUGGCAAAAGACAAUGACGCGACAAGUGACACAGGAGACACAUGGCUUAAAUACACAAGGGAGGUGCAGGUGAUUGGACACAGGUGGAAACUAUUAGACGAUCACAGGGGAUGACGGGACAAGGCAGGAAGUGAAGUUACCCGGUGACACGAGUGGCAGAAAACUACAAAAUACAACAGGAAGUGAAACCACACCGUGACACCG
ensembl:lncRNA